GACACUAUAGCUUAGUGGUUGAGCACACGAUUGCAAUUAAUCGUUAUCGUGCGGUCCCGUGUUCGACCCACGGUAGUGUCU